UGUCUCAUUGGAGAUAAAGAAAAACUACAUGAAAAAUUACAUAGCUAUAUUCACGAAGAGUACUAAGAGAGAUAAGUUUCUCUACUCAUCGCCUCCGUAUCCUUAUUUUUCUACAAGUUCUAACAUUAGAAUUUUAUCCGGUGUAACCUAGGGUGCAUGGCUAUUUCCGGCUGUACAAACUGAUUCGGCUGUUGUACACUGGGAAACAGAUGCAACGUCUUUAGUAGAGGCAUAAAAUCUGUUUUAAGAAAAUCGUUUUGAACAUGUGCUUCAGACACAACCGUCAACAUCAGUUUGUUCAUUAUUGCAGCCAAGAAGGAGUUUAUGUACCAUUUCGAUACACGUGUGACGAAGCUAGUCUAGGGCUACUGGGUCUGCCCGGCGACACGCGGAGGUGUCCCCUCCCCCUGUCGCGACGCGCGGGUGGGUCCAGGGUGGCCUUAAAAAUGUUGAAGCUUACAGAAGUCUGUGUACCAUUUCGAUCAAAUUUUGACGAAAUCUCUCUAUCGUUCUCCGUUAUUUCUUGCAGUAUACCCCUAAACAUGCGAAACUCUGUCUCGUUUUUAUUAGGAACUCAGGAUUAGCACCAGGAAGCUUUAAGUUAAAACCCUAAAACUACAAAGUAACUUACUGUGAAGGUAAUAGAAGCCUGCUAUGAAGCACUGGAGCCUUAAAUAAAUUGGCUAUGAUUACCUAAAUAAAAG